UUUCCCCUGACGGGACCAGUAGAGGGUCUCUUACUGAGUAUUUAAAUACUCACCCUUCUUAUGUUUAAUUUUCAGGCAAAGGUAAUAAAGGCAGCAAACCGGCGAGGGGCAGGAAGGAAGCGUGACUGCCAUAGGAAAUAUGUUGUUUGCUUCCGCUUAUGGGUUCUUGUGAGGUUUAAGAUGAAUUGAAAUUUUGCUUACAAACGUUUAUUGUAAAUAGUAUUGUUUUUAUGUUUUCUUGAAUGUUUGGAAUUCAGGCCUGACUUAAAGAUGUUUUUAAAUUAGCUUAUGUUUCGUUUUAUAUUAAUCAAAGUCUUUUAUUUGUAAAAAAAUUAAUGACCUCGACUUACUUAGAAAAGUUGGGUCGUUACAGGAUAAUAGACAUGCGAGAGGACUUGGGUAAGAUUGAUGAGGGGGAGUUUCAAUUUUUGGAUGAGGACUGGAAUUGAAGGAUUUGGAUUUUGGAGGAGGCGAUGAGAGAGUUAGGGGUCGGAUUGCAAGAGGUUUAGGGUCGAUGGCCACGUCUAGCUUUCGUCUUUUUUCCUUUUUAUACGAGUUAGACGUGUCAUCGUGGACCUUUCUCCUCUUGAGCAGUGGUGCCAGCGGAGAAGCCUCUUCUUCUUCUCUGCCAUUCCAUUCUUCUCCCUUAACUUUAUUAAAGGUUUUGAGUGUCUCUCUUCUUCUUUAUUUUGAUGAGUGUUAUGGUUUGGUUGAGAUUCGCCUGAGAACAUGCAUAAGGGGUGAUUGUAGAAAAGCUAAAAGCUUAGGAACCGUCGGAGGAAGGGCAGAUCAUUAAUUGUAUGUUACGCCUUCCUCUGACGUGGUGGCAGCAAUGUUGAGAAUAGAUUUAGUGAUUCCCGACGUAUCAUUAAUCCCGUGGAUAUAUGUUUAGGGAUUUCUGACGUUUAACAAAUCAGGUCAAGAAUAGGGUGCUAUUCCCGACGUUUUCAUUGUGCGUCAGGAGUUCUCUGUCUUUUUUAACUCCAUUCUUUACAUAAAGGAAACAUAAAGAGAAAUAAAAUGAGAGAGGGAGAGGGAGACCGAGAGGAAGAUUGAGAAGAAGAUGGCAUUGUCAUCUCCAUUGUCGUCCCGUCGUCGCCGCCAUCGGUAAUUGGUUUAGUUUAGUUAUUAUUUUGUUUUAGUUAAUUAGGUUUAGUAUUUAGAUUUCAAAUUUGUUUUAGGUGUUAGAUUUUAGAUUUCAAAUUAGUUUUAGUAUUUAGAUUUUGAAUUAGUUGUAAGUUUUAGUAUUGAAAUUUAAUUUCAAGUGUUGUUAGAAUUUUGAAUUAGUUGUAGGUUUUAGAAAUUUGAAUUUGAAGUGUUGAAGUUGAGAUUGAAGUGUUGAAGUUGAGGUUGAAGUGUUGAAGUUGAGUUUGAAUUUAAAAUUUUCAAUUUGAAUUUAGGAAUUAAUUGAAGUUAUUUUUUUUAAAAAAAGAUAGAGGAUCUCCCGACGCAUGGUUCCUAGACAUCUCUCGAUGCUAUAUUGACAACAUCUUCGACGUUCAUACAACGUCGGAAGAUGUCUAGAAACUCUCGACGCACAACAUUGUGCAUCGGGAGUUCCUCUCCCGAUACAUUUUUCCUGACUUGUGUUCCGACGUAUGCGUCAGAAAAGCCUUUUCUGACGCUUUUUAUAUAUCUCCCAAUGAUUUUAUGCAUCGAGAGAGCCCUCAUUUCUUGUAGUGUUAGACAAAGAGCUUCAAUGUGGUAGAGGGGAAAGGCAUGGCACCUUUAGGUUAACUGCCAUCUUCUAAUUAAUGCAAUAAAUCAUCAUUGUGCACUCUAGUGGGAUGGUGUUGUUGUCAACUAGGCAGGCGGUUUCGUUUUCAAGUCUUAGUUCUUAAUUCUUAACAACCUUUAAGUAUUGAUGUUCUACCCCAACCCUCAUCCAAAACGAUAACUAACACAAUGGUUUGGAUGUUUUUGUGAAACAUCAUCUAACUUUUUCUUUAAUGGUUAAUGAAAAAAAAGCCAGGAAAAUGGUAUUGUUUUGAAUAUUUUUGUAAAAUAGUGGAUGAAGAAGUUUUACUAAGAUAAAGUUUCAUGUUGGACAAGAGGAUAGUGGAUGGGAAUUAAGUUGAAUGGUCCACUUUUUUUUUAAAUCCUUUAAGGUUUUAUGAAAACCUUUCACAAUACCUUUUCAUAAUCAUUUUGUAAAAAUAAUAUCAAAUCAUUUAAAUAUACCGAAAAAUUAUUUCAUUUCGAAUAAACCUUUCUUUAUGCUUAAAAAAUCAUUUCAUUUUUUGUCAAUGAUCCCGAAUCGUUCUCUACGCUUGGUCUCAUUACCUCGCGUUUAGACUAUUGUAUCAACAGCAUCUGAGAACAUACAAAUUCGUCUUUGUUGCUCAUACUGCUAAGCUUUAUACGCUCAUUUAAAUGCAUAAGUCAGCUUCUUAUUACCAAGUAGUUCGUACACUCCAUAGUGGCCUUCACUCUUUAUGUGCACACAAAAGUUAGCAUCAUCUCAAAGAAACAUAAUACUGAAAUCAUAGUCAUCAAAUCAAGCUUUAACAUUAUAAAUAAUGCUUGAAAACAUAACUUUUCAUAGAAAUCUUUCUGAAACAUUCUCAUCUGAAUUCUUCUUUCAAAUCAGUAAAGAGAAAUCGUAAUAAAGUUUCUUAACAUAAAUUCUUUUGACUGAAAAGCACUCACCAAAAUUUACUAAAGAAGUCCUUCUCAGAACCAUCUUUUCGCGUGGCUAAACCAACAACACUUUAACAUUUCAACAAAACUCUCAUCAUCCCCUCCUUAGUUACCUAAAUUCUCCUAUUUUAUAGAUCCCUUAUACUAACUUAGUCGUGCAAAUCCUUAAUAUUUAACCUAGUCAUGCUCAAAUCCUUAAUCUUACAUGUUAACCCAUGUCAAAUCAGAUUUGACAUUUUCUUUACAAACCUUGCUCCCCGCCUAACCCAAACCGUGAAUAAAUUCAACCACUUAACAUUUCUCGUGAAUAACCUUAUCGCUUGAUUAUAUUUUUAUUAUAAGAAACGUUCCACGUGAACUAACCAACUUUUACUCGCAUAAAACUCUUAUCACGAACUUAAACACCAAGGCUUCCUCAUAGACUUCUUCUCCACGAAACACUUGGUUCUUCUCACGAAGACCACCCAAAACUCCUAGUCUAACACUCAAACUUCAAGGUGGCGCAAGCGCUUGGUGGGAUCAAUUACAAAACAAUAGACGAUUAUUCGUUAAACAAUCUAAAGAUUAGCUGAAUAUCUUAUAAAAAGAUGUUGUCGUAGGCUUAGUGGUGACAGGUGAGAAAGUAAGUUGUGUCUUUUAUGACUCUUAAACGUUGAAGUCAAUCAAUGAGUUCCAAAUGGAAUAUUGGAAGUUUUCUUAAAUAUUUUGAUGCUUGUGCAUGUUGUGAAAGAAUUUGGUUAGAUGUGAAAGGGGUUUUAUGAGAUUAGUUACUUACUAUUCCCUUUUUCACUGUCAUUGCUACUCAGUAGACAUGCUAUGGGCUCGUGUUUCUGUAGAAUAUAAUUCAGAUGCUCUUUCUCUAGAAUAUAAUUUAUAUGUUCUAUCUACAAAUUUGAAGUAAUUUCUACUGCUUUUGCUAAUAUUCUCUAAAGCUUAUUCAAAUGUAGUUGUUUAAUGACUGUUCAGAUUUAAAAUAUAUUAUAGAGUUAAAUUUAACACAGUUAAUCAGCUUAAGCAUUUGACUCUGGUGUUCUUAAGAUAUAAAUUCAAAUCCCUAUAAUUUUAUCAUGUUGAUCUUUUCAAUCUUCUCACAUACCGUCUUCAUUUCAUAAUCUUGCCUACUAGUUGCGUAUCAUCAAUGAAAUUACCAUAGGAGUCCACAUGUGGUAAUUAUGGAUCUAGCACGAUAUACUGCGUAUCAUGUUGUUGAAGAUCAUUUUAAAUGGUUAACCAGUCUAUUGGUGGUUUCAGUCUUUCCUUUUGAAUCUAUAGGUUGUUCAAUGUCUAAUAUUAACUAUGUUUAGAUUUAUGGUAAUUUUCAUUCUUUUACACCCUUAAUAACCAAGAAAAGGUGUGCUUUGAUAAUCUUUUCUUUCUCUUCGGUAGGUUGGUAAUGUAGAAAGGAUACAUGUAUACUAUGCCCAUGGACUAGAUAGCCCAACCUUUGUUUGCCGGUGUUAUUGGCUCCUAGAUAAGUAUGUUAUGGGUGAAAGAAAAUUGUUAAAUUGCUUGCUACCAGUUGUUUCAGUGGGUCUAUCCCCAUCAUGCCACAAGCAAAGAAAAAUGAAAUUAGACAGUGGCAGUAUAUCGUGUUCUACUUAUAUAAUUUAUGACACAAGAGGUUAGCUUCUGCUUUUUGUUCAGGACCUUUGAACACAUUGUCCUUGUUCAUUACCGUGAAAACAAGAGGUUAGGUUUAGCACAAUGCAUCUGCAAUUACUGAAAUAUUAUCUUGAGACAAACUUUUAUCAUUUUGACUACUACAUCUAUUUAAGAUUUGCUGAUUUUUCCUCCAUGGUUGCAAUAUUAGAACUUCAUCCAAAAUAAUGUUGUCAUGUGUGUCUUUAAAUUUUUACUGGCAGUCUGGCACUAUAUAGAUCUAGUAGUUGUGCAUGCAUGUCUUCCUCUCUAUCCUCCAUUGAAAAACUCGAUAAUUAUCUGUUUGUGUUUUAUUUUGAUGAUUUAAUCCAACAUUUAUUACGGAUAAAGUCAGCCAUAAAAUACAUAUGUUUACUAUUGCUCUUUGUACAUUUUAAAUACUAGAUUUCUUGAUGAUUGUUGUCUUUAAGUUGCUCUUAAUGUUGUUGCAUAUGGAGAAAUGCACUGUAAUUUUUGUACCAAUUUUAUUACUGCUUUUAACUAAAUCUUCAAAAAUCAAGGCACCACCUGGAUGUAGAGUGCUAUAUGGUGAUUCAAGUGUUGAGAGUUCUCUUUCUUCUGCUAUGCAUAAAUUUAUGGAAUGGAAAGGCAAUGAUCAUGACACUAUUUUUUGUCAGAUAAACAUUGAUUUCAUAUGCUUCAACUCUGUGGUGCUUCACAGCACAUGGAUAAAACUUCCAAACAUUCUGCACCCAAUAUUACCAUAAUGCAUUUGGACACUUCAUUAACAAGUUCUUACAAUUAGCCUUUCUAUAUUGAAAAUAAUUCGUUGUCUUAACUUCCUGUUGCUGCUAGUUUCAGAAUUUUCCAUCCAUAUCGUUGAACUCAAAUUCUGGUUCUGUCUCUAACCCAUCAACUCUGUGGCUUUUAUUGGAGGAACUUGAUUCCAAGGCUACUCAUGUUUAUUCUCUUGGUGAAAAUGAAUUGUCAGGUGAUACUGGCCGAACCUGUCAAAAAUAAAUGAGUCAUAGUUUGUUUGAUCAUUCAUUUUCUAAUCUUUCUUCUUUAUAUUUAAUUAGUUGUUUAAUUUCUUAAAAAAGAAUUCUGGUUUAUUUAUAGUAUAUUUGGUAGUAUGCAUGCCUCAACUCCUUAAAGGCAUGUCUCUUACAGUAUAUUUGGUAGUCUUUUAUAAUGUUACACCCUUUUUUUAAUUCCUAAAACCUUUUAUUAGAAAAUUAUUUUCAUUAUUUUGUAUGGUUACAAAACCAUCCAUUAACUACAUUAAUUAGACAAUUCACUCCAAUAAUAAAUAAAUAACAUUUUUGGAUCUAAGGUCUUUUCUCAUUCUACAAAUUUAAUUUACUAUAUAAAGGUUAUUAUGCUAAUUGAUGGAUAUAAAGAAACAAUAGAAUUUUUAAGGAUAAAUCAAGGUUUAUUGUUAACUUGUGGGAAGACAUAUGUAACUUGAUCGGAGUUUGGUCUAGGCGUCAUUCAUCUUGUAACCAAUAUGAUGUUACUACCAACUCUUAACUUUAAGCUUUGUUAGAUUAAGUGUUUCAGGCUUCCCUCUAGCCUUCAACCUUGUAACUUUAACUCUAUGUUAAUAGAUAAUGACUCUUAUCCUAUGUUUAUCCUAGUUUGAAGGAUUCAGUUCUUCUUCUUAAAAAAAAGUUGUAUUUCGACUACUAUUUGGGAGGAAAAUAUGCUUCACUAACUAAAAAUCUAAUGACACUUCCAAAACAUAUCAUUUCAAAAGAUGUUUCCUCAAUAAUAUAUUUAUAAUGCUCUUCCUUUAUAGAGUAAAACAGUAAAGCAACAAAACCAUUUUAAUUCAUUAUAUAUAUAUAUAUAUAUUUAUGUAUGUAUAUAUAUAUAUUUAUGUAUGUCAUUACUACAAAAAAGGCCUUUCUUGACGUUUGUUGUUUUUCUUUCUUGACAUUUUUUCAAAAAACGUCAAGAAAGCGGUAGUUCCAAAGAUAAAACGUCAAGAAUUUUUAGGAAAGGCGGGGUAGGUCAAUUUUCAGAUUUCUUGACGUUUAUUAAACAUCAACUAAUAUGUAUUUUUCUUGACGUUUUAAAAACAUCAAGAAAUAUCUAUAAAAAUUUUGACGAAACGUCAAGAAUGUUUAUAUAUUCAACAUUCUUCAAAAUUUUCAAACGUCAAGUAAUAUGUACUUUUACUUGACAUUUAAAAACGUCAAGAAAUAUCUUAAAAAUUCUUUAUGUUUUAAAAUGUCAAGAAUUUUUAUAAAAAGCCAGAGAAGAGUUAUUUUUUAAAUUUCUUGAUGUUUUUUAGACAUCAAGUAAGAUCGUUUUUCUUGACGUUUUAAAAACGUCAAGUGUUAUUAAAUAUAUAUUUAUAUAUAUAUAUAUAUAAAAGAAAAUAUUGGGUUGAAUCCUUCGAAGCCCUAGACUUGUCUCCGCCGCAUUCGAAAAUGGCAAGUUCUCUCUAAGGAUCUCUCACUUCUGCCGUGUUCACCGUCCGUCCGUCCGCGGUCACCACACCCUCUCCGAAAAUGCGUACUAGAUCCUUCGCUUUCAGUCGUUCACCAUCCACUGAGUACGAGAUCCCUAUGACUUCGCCAUCUGCCAUCCCUAAUACUCUGAAAUCGUCGUCCGUUGUCCCUCAAAAUUGUCGUCCUUCUCUAUGAAAACGUCGUCCUUCUUUCAAGUCUUCAUUCCCUUUAUGUCGUCCUUCUGUAUUUAGAGGUUAUACUUCAUUCCCCUAAAACUCCAUUGGUUUCCAUAUUUCAAGAAUUUGAAAUUUUUUUAGGAUAUUGCUAGUGGAAAUUUAAGUCAAUUCUGUUUGCUCCCAAACUACCUCCUGUUAUGCUGUCUGGUUGGGAGAAAUAAAGUCUUUGUCAUAUUUCAAGGUAGUGUAUGUUAACCAACACUUAGUGCAUUUUCGUGUUUAUGAGCUUAUUUUAGUUAAUAUGUUUUUGUAGGAAAAAUAUCAUGUCAAUAUGGCAUAUUAUCGAUGAAAUUGUAGUCGUUUAACACAAAAUUUUGAGGUUCUUUUUCAACUAAUUAUGCUUUAUCUAAUAUAUUUUUCCAAAUCUUAAAGAAGAACUUUUGAUUUCAUUGGAGUUUAUCAUUAGAGGCAUUACUAUAAUUGCUGCCUCUCAGUGGGCUAUAGAUUUUCCAAUGGUCAUUUGAGACUGGUUGAUAAUAGCAAAAGAUAGAGCUUGAGAAGAAGGAGCGAAGAAAGUAGCGAAGACAAAAGAAGAAAGAAAGCUGAGUGAAAAACGAAAAUUGACAAGGUAGAGAUGUGACAUGAAAAUGAUGAUGAGAAGUGAAGAAGGCACGACACAAUACUGGUACACAAUAACAAAGCCUUGAUAAUUAAAAAAAGGAUGGUGCCAAGAAAAUUUAAAUACAAAAAAAAUGAAGGUUUUUGCAAGUGUAUUGAGUGAAUGGAGAAAGAAAGGAUAAAAAAGGUAGAAAGAGAGAAAGAGAAGUCAAGGGUAGAGAUACAUAGCUUUGUAUAUAGAAACUUUAUGUCUAUACUCCACUAUACGUUGUGGAGAAUAUAAUAUCCUGAUAUGUUUGAUUCAAUUUGAAUGAUGCAAUUAUUUAUUUUUCUGCAAUAAUUCUACUUCUAGAACCUAAAUUUUGAAAGCCUACUAAUUUUUCAGAAUUAAUUCGAGACCCCACUUUUGCUCCCCUUCCUACCUACGGUUACUUUUUGCUUAAACUUUAAAAGUUGUUUGAAAAUUUUUGCUGAAACUUGUAAAAUUUGUUUGAAUUUCGUAUAUCUCUCACAUAUUGCAAGGUUUCUUAAUUAUUUUAUUGAAUUUCCUACAUAAAUGCAUUCAAACAUGAGUUGACAUUAUUGAAAAGAUCCGUCAUCCUAAAGUAGUUCUGUUUUUUGGUGUCGUUUCUCAGAAUUUGCCUAUGAUGAUUGUUUCUGAAUACCAUCUGAAGGUAUGGAUACAUUUUCUUACCCUUUAUUUUAUCCUAAUGAAAAUUAUUCCAUCAUGUUUCAUUCCAAGCAUUUCAUUACAUAUUUUGUUCAUGUAUGAUGAAUGGUGAUUAGUUUUUGUAUCAACUUAUUCCCUCUUUCAUGUAUAUUUCAUCUUCCAGGGUGAUAUAUAUCAAUUUAUUCCCUCUUCAAUUGAUUCUUGUUUUUACUCUUGGCUUAUAGGUUGCUACAUGAUCGUAUAUUAGGAGAAAAAUUGUGCAAUUAUUUAUAGUUAGGGAGAUUUCAAUAGUAAAAAGCAAAGAGAGUAAAUGGUAACAAAAUCAUAUUGUUCACAUGAAAUGAUAAAAUAAUCAUUACACAUUUACAAGAACAGUAAAUAAAUUAUGUGAUUUUCUCGUGAGAAAAAUGAAGAAGAAAUAGCUUCUAACAAAAGUGAAUAUAAAUUAAAGGAGAAUAUAAAAUUGUUGAAAAUAUUUAUUUUCAAUAAUUCAGAAGUUCUUUGGCUAUAUAUAAUGGAAGAGAGCCUUUCCAAGGUGUGAUGCUGGCAUCAACAACGACGCGCUUAGCACAGAUACGGAACCGACACCAUCUUCUUGGUGUUUGUCUAUGCAAAAGCCUCGAGUGGCUAUGGUCUGCUUCUUCUCUGUGAGGGAAAUGGUUGAAGUUGCUAGACUAUUUCAAUUACUAUGUGAGAGGUGGCUGAAUUUUAUUGGACCUCUCUUCUUGGGCUUACUUUUUACAAUUGUUUAACAAUCUCUCUCCGAAUAUACCUUCGUCCCCUUAGCUGCUUCCCACUUUGGUAAAAUCGCCAAAGCUUUAUGUGUAAAUUGCAAGAGACAGAGGAGCAAGGCAAAAUAAGGUUAUUGGAACAAGGCGAAAGUUAUCAUUGCUAGCUGCAACUUUCCUCAUUCUUCUCACCCUCCUUCAAACCAUAUUCUCUGCUAUGUAUGCAUUUCCUAGCUAGCUUCCCCGGCAUAUUCUAUUUUAGCUUUUUUCCUCUCCAGUUUCUGUUAUGUAUUUUUACUGAAUAUGAUCUCCUUUUUGCUAUCAAGAUAGUAUACCAUACAUGCAUGUGUAGGACUUUUAUCGAUUUAAAACAUGUGUAUGCAUUUCCCCUCCUUUUUGCCACUUGUCGUCGUCGAUUCCACACUCCAACCACUAUUGUCGUUGCUGCCACAACAAGCCUUCGCCGUCGAACCCACCAAUCUAGCCACUUUCGUCGAAUAAAUUUAUUGAGAAAUAUAAGUUUUAAUGACACUUGAAAUCAGAAAAAGGGAUAUGAGGGAAUAAAAUGUGUCGUUAAAAAUAAAAAACAAAAUUCUCCGUGACACAAAUUGAGUUUCUUGACAAAAUUUUCGCAUUGUUAAUUAAUGACAUACAUUAUGUGUCAUUAAAAAUUACCCUAAUAAAAAAUCAAUGUUUUCCUUCAAUCAUACGCUUUUUGAUUUAAAACAAAUAAUUCGAAGCUUUCAUCCCACUUGUGAACAACGACCGAAAAAAACCUUACUUCAUCCCACAUCGUCGCUGUCUUUAGCUCUCUCGUAAAUGUUCUCUGGCGACGUUCCCCCCCUCUCUCGCAAAUACUCUUCACGACUUUUCCUCUCUCUCAAAUUAAGCUCUCUGCCCACCGUUUGAAGGAACUCACCAAAUUUGCAAGUAAUUGAAGAAUUCGUGGUCCAUGAGAUCAAUUAAGUCCAUUUAUGAGUUAGUUUGAUUAGAUUAUGUCACAUAUACAUGUAUUACAAUUAAGGGACACUUGCGAAAAAUGGAAAAAUAAGUUAUAAUAAUUAAGUCCAUAGAACACAUACUUUAUUAUUUGAGAAAGUGACAAAAACAAAGACCAGCUCACACAUCAAGAGGUAAAAGUCACAAAUGCCCUCGUUAUUGAUGUACAUUUGAUACACCUUAUACACGUCUGAUACACUUAAUACCCCUUGAUACACUUGAUACUUCUUACUGAUACACUUGAUACAUUUGAUAGAUACAAUUCAUGCACUCGGUACUCAUUGAUACACUCGAUACUUUUUGAUACACACCUGAAACAUCUUCAUACUGUUGGAAUUUUUUGUCCUAAAACUCGUAGUUUGUAAAUCAUAUUAUGUUCAAUGAAGUUGUUAUUGAGAAAUUAAAUAUUAUAAUCUUAAAUCCAAUAAAUCAAGUUCCAAGGCUAUUUUUAAAUAAACUUGAACUUUAUGUGUAAACAUAAACGUGGAUCAAGUUCGAGUAUAUAGCUUAAAUAGUCUAUAGUAUAUGAAAUAAAGGUUGGGCGCCUUAUUUAGAGAAACUAUGGAUGUGGCCCACUUUGUAGUACAAACGAGGUGAUCCUAAUCGUUCAUGUAGAGACAUGAAAGUGGGGCAUCCUAUGUAAAAUGUUUACAUAAGACUGAACCAUGAAUUAGUCUUUUUACGUUAUAACACCGUUUACUGUUUAAAACUGACUAUCUCAAUUAUUGAUGAUCUAGGUAACUUAGUCUUAAUCCUGAGUUAACUAUGAACUCCUGUUCACACGAGAUUAUCCUUAGAUCUGCAUAGGUGAGGGCAGCUCAUCAGCGUUGGCCCAAUAAGCCUCCCAUUUCAGGGUAAGAUCGGGUGAUAGCUGGGAACAUAGGGUACAAGAUGGAAUUCACUCCUACCCGCUUUAGGGUUAGUAGAUAGGUUGUUCUCUUAAGCACUGAAUCCAAGUCUUGAACAAGGGGCCCCACCCUCUCAUUGGCCUGAGAGGGAUUAAGUUUAUAGGUUGAACCUUAAACCAAUUGUUCAAUAGUGGAUUAGUGGGACUUAAGGAGCAAGAUGUAAUCUUGGGGUAAAACGGUAUUUUGACCCAACCAAGUUACGAGCAACCUGUGAAGGAUUAACUUACUGAUUAUGGUUUUAUCAAAUGGACACAAAUAUAUCUAUAGUGAGGGGAGUGCAACUACGGGACUUUAGUGGAAAGACCCGUUAGUUAACGAAUGUUGAUUAACUCGGUUUAAAAGAGUUUAGCUAGUUAAUCUUGAAUCGUUGGAGCCCAUGAUCUAUAGGUCCAUUAGGUUCCUCUGCUAGCUCAUAUGGAUUAAACUUAGAACAGUGUGAUGAAAUAAGUCGAAUUGUUCGAAUUGGGAGAAGAAAGGAAAACCGACAAAUAUAGUGAUAUAGUCCUCGGUCUUCUAAUUAGAAAUAGAGCUUUAUGUUUUACAUACUAUAAGUAUGAAUGCGGAUUCAUACUAAGAAGCUCGGAAUUGAUGGAAUUGGUCAAAAAUAGUAAAAAGUCAAAAUGUUGACUUUUGACUUUGAAAAGUCAAACUUUGAUCGGCCUUAUAUUCAAAUGUGAUUUGAAUUUUGGAAAAAUGAAUGCGGAUUCAUGCUCGGGAGGUUGGAAUUAGUCAAGAAGGACAAAAUGGUAAAAAGUCAAAAUAUUGACUUUUGACUAAGAAAAGUCAAAGUUUGACUUUUGACUUGAAAUAUCUAAUGACCAUUUUACCCUUGGACUAAGUUAGUGGAAAAAUCCAACAUUUUGUUGGAUAAUCCCACUAACUCUUAGUGGGAUAUGUGGCUAUAUGAGAUGUAGACACCUAGCCCACUAAGUUCCACUAAUUGUUAGUGGAACAUUAGGUGUUGAGAUUUGGCAAAUUAAUUACAUGCAUUUUUGCAUGUAAUUAGGUUAUAAAUAGGGGAGUUUUCAAAUGGUUGAAGACUUUUGCCUUUUUUAUUAUCCUCCAACAUCUCAACAAAAGAAAAAAAUUUCUACCUUCCAGUCCCAUUUUAUCUCCAUUUCUUUCGACACCAAAUUGGGUCCCACAACCCGGUUCUUUGUCCAAGAGGAUAGUAGUUGAGUACUAGUGGUGGUCUUGGUUUGAAUUGACAAGAAGGUAUCAAAGUUUUUUGAAAGCUUCAAAGGCAAUAUUUCCUAAAACCCUAACUUGAUUAGUUUAGAGUUACAUGUUAAUUGUGCCAAUUAGGGUAGAAAUUCGAUUCCUUUUUCCGUUGUGCAUGUCUUAGUUCUAUCAAUGCGAGGCUGGUGGAUUUCAUGGGUCAGGAUGGUGAUUGGAGGUGGCCGCUUGUUUCUUUGGAUUUGAUGGACAUUUGGGAUAGGAUUAUGGGAGUGAGGCCGAGUCCGAGUGUUGAGGAUAGGUGGGUUUUGGUGCUGGGGAGUCAUGAUAGUUUUUCGGUCGCCAGUGCGUGGGAGACUAUUCGUCCUCAUAGUAGUAGGGUUGGCUGGUCGGGUUUACUAUGGGGUGGGGAAAUAUUCCUAAGCACUCCUUCUGUGCUUGGUUGGCCAUCGGGGAUAGGUUGGGUAAGAGAUAGGUUAAGUCGGUGGGAUAAGUCGAUUCCUUUAUUGUGUUUACUUUGUGGAGGGAACUAUGAGUCUCGUGAUCAUUUGUUUUUUCUUGUCAUUUUGGGUGGGAGAUUUGGUCGAGGAUCCUUUUGCUUAUGUCAUCUUCUCAUAGAAUUGGUUAUUGGAGGGUUGAGUUAUCUUGGAUUUGUAAUCAGGGUAUUGGGAAGAGUGUGAGGAGAAAACUGUGGCGCCUUCACUGGUGUGCUACAAUUUAUUUCAUUUGGCAGAAGCAAAAUCAUCGUCUUCAUGGAGGUGUUGUUCUUGAGCCUAUGGUUGUAUUCCAGCUCAUUCGGUUGUGUAUUAAAGGGUGUGAUGCUUCUUGGUCGGAUGGUGUUUAUGGUCUUAUUUAAUGUUCUUUUCGUUUGUGAUUUGAAUUUUGGAAAAAUGAAUGCGUAUUCAUGCUCGGGAGGUUGGAAUUAGUCAAGAAGGACAAAAUGGUAAAAAGUCAAAAUAUUGACUUUUGACUAAGAAAAGUCAAAGUUUGACUUUUGACUUGAAAUAUCUAAUGACCAUUUUACCCUUGGACUAAAUUAGUGGAAAAAUCCAACAUUUUGUUGGAUAAUCCCACUAACUCUUAGUGGGAUAUGUGGCUAUAUGAGAUGUAGACACCUAGCCCACUAAGUUCCACUAAUUGUUAGUGGAACAUUAGGUGUUGAUAUUUGGCAAAUGAAUUGCAUGCAUUUUUGCAUGUAAUUAGGUUAUAAAUAGAGGUGUUUUCAAAUGUUGAAGAACUUUGCCUCUUUUAUCAUUUUCAUCAUCUCAACAAAAGAAAAAAAGAAACCUUCCAAUUCCAUUUUAUCUCCAUUACUUUCUACACCAAAAUUGGGUUCCACAACCCGGUUCUUUGUCUAGAGGAUAGCAGUUGAGUACUAGUGGUGGUCUCUGUUAGAAUUGGUAAGAAGAUAUCGAACCUUUUGAAAGCUUCAAAGGUAAUAUUUCUUAAAACCCUAAUUUGAUUAGUUUAUGGUUACAUGUUAAUUGUGGCAAUUAGGGUAGAAAUUCGAUUAUUUUUCCGCUGUGCAUGACUUAGUUCUAUCACAUACACAUAAUACUUCUCGUUCCAUAUAAUACUUCUCGUUACACUUGAUUCUUCUUGAUACACUUGAUACCCCUGAGGCCUUGAUACACUUGAUUAGUUUGAUACACUUGAUACACCACUAAUAAACUUGUUAUACUUCAUUGGUACACUUAACAAAUUUGAUAUGUUUGAUGUACAUGCACUACAAGAAAUUUACCCUUUGUCGAUGACAAAUAUCGUCAGUAAAUCUUCAAAAACUAAUCGACUUUUCUUUUGCCAACGAAAUUAAGCUGUCAACACACACGUCACGUAGGUCUGUCGGAAGAUCCUCUAUCGAUGGCAAAAAAUAAACUGUCAGCAAAAAUAGGAACUAUCGAUGAAAUUGAACCAUCAGUGUGCGUGUGUGUGUGCGCUGUGCGCAUGUCCACGUGUGCUUGGGUGUGUGUAUGCACACAUGUGUACGUGAGUAGGUGUGUACUGUUUGCGUGUGCAUUUGUGUGCGUGCGGUUUGGUGUGCGUGUGCAUGUGUGCGUUUGUGUGUGUGUCCUACGUUCGUGUGUGUGUGUGUGCGUGUAUGGGUGCACGCGCGUGCAAGUGUAUGUAUGUGUGUGCGCGUGUGAUUGUGUGUGAAUAAGUUGAUAUUUUUUAAUGUUGAGUUUCUCCCAAUUUUAAAACAAUAAUUUAAUUAUCUUGAUAUUCAAGCCAUUAAUAUUAUUGUGAGAUAAAGAUAGUGAAUAAGUUGAUAUUUUUUAAUUUUGAAAUUCAAUUAAAGUUAUUUUGAUACAAAGUCUAUUGCUGAGAUUAUCAAAUUCUGAAAAAUAAUAAUUUUGUUAUUUGAAAUUCAAUUUGGUUAUUUUGAAAUUCAAAUUCAAUUAGGUUAUUUUGAAAUUAGUAAGAUUAAAUAAAGUUAAAGUCUUGAAUCCAUUAGUUGAGUCCGAGAUAUUAAGAAAAAAGUAUGAUAUGAGUUUAUGUAUCUUUUUCAGGUAAAAAAUAAUUAAAAGCUGAUAAAUGCAUAAUAUAAAUUAAUUACAACAUAGAAACAAAAUAAUUUUAGUUGGAGAAUGUGGAUAUUUUGGUAUUUUAUAAAAUAUUAUGCACGUGCAAAAAAUGUUAUUUGCUAAAAUUAAAAAAAAAUAGUUUUGCCAUUUUUCAAAAUGACCCAUAAAAAUGUUUAUAUCUCUUAUGACAGAGUGUAUAUCUACUGGUUCAUAUUCGACCUGUUUGUUGCUAAAUAAUUGGAUAAAAUCGCAUUAUAUUGAAAUAAUUACACGAAUGACACUUUUAAGCCAAUAUUGAUAGAAAUUAUAGUUUAAUUAAUGUUAUUAAGUCAAAUGAACAUGGUUUAAAAGUCCUUCUAAACACAAUUAAUGUAGUUGUUUUUUAAUUUUAACUCAUUUAUACAUCUUUAUGCAUAUGUGCGUGUGUACGUGUGCGUGUGUAGGUAGGUGUGCGUAUGUGUAUGUGCGUGCGUUCGUGCGAGUGUCCGUGUGCAUGUGUGUGUGGGUGUGUGCAUGUUUGUAUGUGUUUGUGCGUGCGUGUGUGUGCGCGGGCUAUUGCGUGUGGUUGGUGUGUGUGUGUCGCGUGUGCGUAUGUGUUUACGUGUGUGCGUUUGUGCGUACGCGUGUGUGCGUUUGUGCAUGUGUGUGUGCUUGUGCGCGUGUGGAUAGGUGUGUGUGUGUGCAUGCGUGCGCGUGUGCAUGUGUGGUGCGUGCGUUCGUGCGUCUGUGGGUGUCUGUGUGUAGGUGUGCGUGUGCGCGUGUGUGUAAGUGUGCAUGUGUACGUGUGUGCGCAGUGCUUCUAUGCUUGUGUGCGAACAAGUUAAUAUUUUUUAAUGUUGAGUUUCUUCCAAUUUUAAAAUAAUAAUUUAAUUAUCUGAUAUUCAAGGCAUUAAUGUUAUUUUGAGAUAAAGAUAGUGAACAGGUUGAUAUUUUUUAAUUUUGAAAUUCAAUUAAGGUUUUUUAAUAUCUAUCGUUGAGACUCUCAAAUUCGAAAAAAUAAUUUUGUUAUUUUGAAAUUCAAAUUCAAUUAGGUUAUUUUGAAAUUAGUAUGAUUGAAUAAAGUUAUUAAUAUGUUGAAUUAAUUAGUUGAGUCUCGAGAUAUUAAGAAAAAUAUUAUGAUAUGAGUUGAUGUAUCUAUUUCAAGUAAAAGAUAAUUAAAAGCUGAGAAAUGCAUAACAUAAAUUAAUUACAAUGUAGAAACGAAAUAAUUACAGUUGAAGAAUGUUGAUAUUUUGGUAUUUUAUAAAAUACCAUGCACGUGCAAAAAAUGCUAGUUGCUAAAAUUCAAAGGAAAAAGUAGUUUUGUCAUUUUUCAAAAUGACCCUAAAAACGUUGUUAUGUCUCUUAUGACAAAGAGUGUAGAUCUACUGAUCCAUAUUCGAUUUGUUUUUUGUUGGUAAAAUUGGAUAAGACCGCAUUAUAUUGAAAUAAUUACACGAAUGACACUUUUAAGCCAAUAUUGAUAGAAAUUAUAAUUUAAUCAAUGUUAUUAAGUCAAAUGAACAUGGUUUAAAACUCUUUCUAAACAUAAUUAAUGUAUUUGUUUUUUAACUUUAAUUAAUUUACACUUCUUUGUGCGUGUGUGCAUAUGUGCGCGUGUGUGCGUGUGUGGAUGGGUGUGUGUGCGUGCGUGUGCGUGCGUUGUGCAUGUGUGCAUGUGUGCGAACAAGUUGAUAUUUGUUAAUGUAAAAUUUCUCCCAAUUUUAAAAUAAUAAUUCAAUUAUCUUGAUAUUCAAGCCAUUAAUGUUAUUUUGAGAUAAAGAUAGUGUACAAGUUGAUAUUUUUUAAUUUUGAAAUUCAAUUAAAGUUAUUUUGAUACAAAAUCUAUCGUUGAGAUUCUCAAAUUUCGAAAAAUAAUAAUUUUGUUAUUUUGAAAUUGAAAUUUAAUUAGGUUAUUUUGAAAUUAGUAAGAUUGAAUAAAAUUAAAAUCUUGAAUCAAUUAGUUGAGUCCCGAGAUAUUAAGAAAAAAGUUAUGAUAUGGGUUGAUGUAUCUUUUUCAGGUAAAAAAUAAUUAAAAGCUAAUAAAUGCAUAACAUAAAUUAAUUACAACGUAGAAAUGAAAUAAUUACUGUUUGAGAAGGUGAAUAUUUUGGUAUUUUAUAAAAUAUCAUGCACACGUGCAAAAAAUUCUAUUUGCUAAAAUUUAAAAGAAAAAGUAGUUUUGCCAUUUUUCAAAAUGACCCAUAAAAACGUUGCUAUAUCUCUUAUGACAAAGAGUGUGCAUCUACUGGUACAUAUUCGACUUGUUUUUUGUUCGUAAAAUUGGAUAAGACUGCAUUAUAUUGAAAUAAUUACAGUAAUGACACUUUUAAACCAAUAUUGAUAGAAAUUAUAAUUUAAUUAACGUUAUUAAGUCAAAUGAACAUGGUUUAAAAGUCUUUCUAAACACAAUUAUUGUAGUUAUUUUUUAAUUUUAAUUCAUUUAUACAUCUUUGUGCAUAUGUGCGUGUGUGCGAGUGCGUACGUGUGUGCGUAUGCACGUGUCCACGUGUGCGUGGGUGUGUGUGUCUACGUGUGCGUGGGUGUGAGUGUCCACGUGUGCGUUUGUGCGUGUGUGGGUGUGUGUGCGUAUACGCGCGCGUGCGUGUGUACGUGAGUGGGCGUGUGCGCUUUUUGUGCUUUUCUUCCAAUUUUAAAAUAAUAAUUUAAUUAUCUUGAUAUUCAAGUUAUUUUGAGAUAAGGUUAUUUUAAUAUAAAAUCUAUCGUUGAGAUUCUCAAAUUCUAAAAAAUAAUAAUUUUGAAUUUUGAAAUUCAAUUUGGUUAUUUUGAAAUUCAAAUUCAAUUAGGUUAUUUUGAAAUUAGUAAGAUUGAAUAAUGUUAUUAAAAUGUUGAAUCAAUUAGUUGAGUCCGAGAUUUUAAGAGAAAAGUUAUGAUAUGAGUUGAUGUAUCUAUUUCAAGUAAAAAUUAAUUAAAAGUUGAUAAUACAUAACAUAAAUUAAUUAUAACGUAAAAACAAAAUAAUUAUAGUUGGAGAAGGUGAAUAUUUUGGUAUUUUAUAAAAUACCAUGCACGUGCAAAAAAUGUUGUUUGCUAAAAUUGAAAAGAAAAAGUAGUUUUGCCAUUUUUCAAAUUGACCCCUAAAAACGUUGGAUUUUUGUGUAUUCCCUUGGGCUUUCUUGUUCAAUAUUUAGUCAAAUUGCAGUAUACAUAAAAUUUGUGUUUGUUACGUCACAAGAUUUCAUUCACUAUUUGUGUCUGUAUUAUUUUAUAUUUUAUACAGGAGACUAUUCGUUGACCCCAAAAUUACAAGGUUUCAUGUUGCUUACUGGAUCAUUAAUGAUUCGUCUCUAUCUUUGGCUCAUCGAGUGGUGGAGUUGGAACCCCCUGAAAGUGUAGAUUUAGACUCUCUACCGUUGUCAAGAGCUGUUAAGUAUGCAAAAAUGGCCUUGAGAAAUCCUAUAAACUCUCUGAACAGGAGACAUUCUAGUGUAAGAAGAAAUGCUCAAGUCCUUGAAGAAAUUGAGGACACAACUCCAAUUCCUAGCAUGCUUUCUCCCUAAGACUAUGCUGGUCCUAGUCGGGGAGUGGCAUUUACAUCCCAGAAAGACACACAUGUAUCACCUCGUGUUGGCACUUCCAUUGCAAUGCACAACUCUGACAUAUAUAGUGCCGACAUUUCCUUCCUUAAGCUUGAAAAAAGGUGAUUUGAUGUCCAUAAAAAAUUAACUGAGCAGUUAGAUAUUUUCUAAUACGUAUCUCACGUAAUUUGAUGCUCAUUGAUACUGCAUUACUGUGUCAGGAACGUGUUGAUGUAAAAUCUUUCAGUUUUGAUGGAUCUUAUUACAAGCUUUCAACUCUUCUUAGCACGACUUCUGACAGAACAAAGGUUUGAUAUAUCUUUACACGAUCGCAUAUCACAUAUGAACGAUCGCAUAUCCCAUUGAAAUAUCGAUCACCCUUGGUAAAACAACCGUUUAGAUAUUCUACACGAUUGUUUGCUUAAGGAUACACGAUCAUUUUGUAACUAUUUUUUUUAUUAUCCUUUUUUCUUUCUAUACUAGAAUCAGAAUCAAUUGUUUGAUGAUAUUAACAACAUGUAUGAUGAUCUUCGUGAUGAUUCUAGUCAUCACAAUCUGGACAAGAAUGAUGACCAUCAAAAUAACAAACAUGUGAUCAUCCAUGAGAAUCCAUCUGUUCAAGAGUCACAUCUUCAAGAAUCUACUGUAGAACUCAACAGUUAGUGUUUAAUUCAUUAGUUACUGCUUUAUAUUGUUUAAAAUUGCUUAGAUUAUAAAUAAACAACAAUAAUUUUUUUUCUUUCUGUGUGGAACAAAAAUGAACGCCUCAACAUCAAGAGCAGUCAGGCAGUGAUAUUAGCAUAUAUGGCAGAGAUGCACAUUUGAUAUUAACUAUAAGUAAUAUAGCAGAAAAUAUGGAAGGUCAUACUCAAACAGAAAAGGGACUGCUAGAAAUGAUUGAAAAUCUUCCGUUGGUAAGCCAACCACUUCCACUUUGUGAGAUGCUACCAUUAACUACUGUCAAAGGUCUUGCAUUAGUUUAAUUGGUAUGUGUGCCCUAAAGGGAUAAAAGCUCUUGGCAGUGAAAGACUUACAAAACCAUUCAUCAAUUUUAAUUUGAAAAUUCCAAAAUACCAGUACAUUGACAAUAUUUAGAAUCAAAGUUCUAAAUAAAGAACUAAAUAUGCUUUAAAUUAAAAGAUACAUAGAACUUACUCUUGUUGACGUCUCUGAUUCUAUAAUCCACCGAACUGAGGACACCACCCGUUGGAGACCUUCCUAUCUUCGAAGAUGAGAUUGGUUGUGAAAACAAUUGGAAUGAAAAAAAAAAUUAGAGAGAAACUAUGUAACACCCCCAAUAUCAAGGUAUUUCUCUCAAGCUAAAUUUUGCAACCCCAUCUCUUUCUCCUUCACUCUUCCUCUUCCCCGUGCCCAACUGCCGCCUGCCUCCCUUAGCCAUUUUAUAUUACUCUUGGACGUCAGCCGGCCACGCCGCCACCGAUCGCUUCGUCGCAGUUGAAGCCGAAGCACCGUUCCUCGUGAGUUCGAACUCUCGGCAUCGCGUCUCACCUCUGUUUUCCAGCCAAGUUGUGAUUCAUUCGCGCGUAGCUCCUUCGACGUUUGCACCAUCACAUUCUUCUCCAGGUGAUGAGGAACGUCACCGAUUGACCUAUCAUCUCACUGGCAUUGUUACUUAGUUGAAGCAGCCGUCGACCAGACCUGAGCCCGUUGCGUCUGCCGAAGUGCUGUCGCGCGGCUCUUCACCUUCCAGCCAUGGGUUGUAAGCUAAAGUUUGUUUUUCGUUUGUUGAUUAGAUCUGAUCUAUUACACGCGUCGAUUCCAGUUAUUCGAAGUUGUUGCCCCCAUUUUACUCUAAUUUUUAGGAUUUUUUGUGGUAAGUUGUAUUGGUGAGUGUGGUGGUUUUACAUUGUAAUUAUCCUUGGGUUGUAGUUUGGAUAAUUAGUUAAAUUGUUAAUUGAUUCAUGAAGGUAGCGUUUGAGUUCUUUGGAUUCAACAUGGUUAAGGAGCUUAACUGACUUGAAAGUAAGGGAUUUUCUACUGGACUCAAUAACAAAAUUAAGAUGUAUUGACUAAUUAAGAUGUAUUGACUGUAUGGACUGUAAUAUUAUAUGUGAACUGAGUAGGGAUUACUGUUAUGAUGUAUGUUUGGACAUUGACUUAAAGUUUAAUGUUUACAGUGUUUGACUGGGAGAAAUUUAUAUAUAUGUGUGCAUGGAUUGAUGUGGACUUGUGGUUAAGUGUAUGUUGUGACUGUCUGGUUAUGUAUAUGUACAAACAUAAGGAUGUGGAAACGACUGAGCCUCGUAAAUGUUGCUUAUAUAAAGUGUGGAUUUGAUUAGUAGAUUGAUUGUUGUUUAGACUGAAUGUAUGAUCUACUGUUAUGGUUGUGUGCUUGUGAACGGAAGAGACAUCAUGGUUGUGCCCUUGGAGACUGAGGAGGAGGUUAUGAUUAUUUAGUUUGUUAACUGAUGAAAUGAUAUGUUUUUACUGACCUUGGGCUAAAUUAGAGCAAGACGGCUGUUUGGGGUUAAAUAAGGAGUUUAUGUAAUGAGAAUGUUUAACUGAAAUGUGAACGACUGUUAAGAUGUUUAGAAUGGACUGAGGGGAAAAAUUGUUAGCUUUUAUUGGGAUGUGUGCCUUGUAGGUGUCCCACGGGAUCACCAAUUAUUCUGCACCCUUCGGGAGCAUUAGACUGAUAGGUGUUUCUGCAGAACACUAGACUGAAAUGUACGUCCCUCGGGGCGUUAGACUGAAAUGUGCAUCCUACGGGAUCACAAGACUGCGACUGUACAGGGUGUCCCAAUAGAAUGUUAACAAUUUAUUUUCCCCUGACGGGACCAGUAGAGGGUCUCUUACUGGGUAUUUUAUACUCACCCUCCUUAUGUUUAAUUUUUCAGGCAAAGGUAAUAAAGGCGGUAAACCGGCGAGGGGCAGGAAGGAAGCGUGAUUGCCAUAGGGGAUAUUUUAAUUUGCUUCCGCUUAAUGUUUUGUUUCUCGUGUUUUGUUUUAGUACUUGAGAUUGUUUAGAAAAUUUUAUAGUUGAACUGCAUUCAUGAAUUGGUAAACCUUUCUUGAAAGUGUUGGUUAUUUUAAAUAGGGCCCAUAUAUAAAUUUUUGCUUUCUUUGAGACUUUGAAAUUAUUUGAAAUUGAGAUUUUGUGUAAACUCAGGUCUUUGUUUGAAAUUAAUGACUUCGACUUACUUAGAAAAGUUGGGUCGUUACAAAU
rnacentral:lncRNA from 1 species